GGUCGUCUUUGCAGGGUGAACCACACUGAUGAACGAUGCUAAGCGGGAUCCCAUAGGAGACUGUUAACCGAGAGAGGAACUUUGCUUGUGGCUGUGCGGUGACUGCGUUAGGCGCAUCCGUGCAAGGCGAUGAGAACCCGGGUGGAAGGUCGUCUUGGACACCUGUCAUGGUUCGUUGCUCUUUGGAAGUAGACGGCUGGUCCCAUCUGCUUUUACGCUUGCGUCCAUUUGUCUCAGGAAGGCUGGAGGAAGUAGGUUGUAUGCACCCGUCAGAUACAGAAGGUGUUUCGGGAGUUGCAGCCCUUGAGGAAAACGGUUCUGCACGUCUUGGCGAAUGAUGAUCAUAUCUAGGUUCUUGUGAUGAUCUGAAUCUGCUGUUUAUAGGUGAUCUUCUAGACUCCGAUCUCUCUUCUCUGUCGAUGCGCCAAGGUUUUCUUAAAUGCUUAGGGAUAAAUCUGUCUCGGAAGUUCCUCGCAAUUUGAUGCACCUGCAGGCAUACACAUGAAACCAGUUGGAAACUAGAAGGUAUAACAAAUAGAUAAAGAUGAAAUGUCAAUGGUGCUCAAGAGUUCAGGAUUCAAUAGAAUUCAUAAGGGGUAUAUGGGACGCUAGGUACCUGUUUGUCAUCAUGCUCGGUGAGUGUUAGAAUAGACUGCUUGAAGCUGCACAGAGAUAAACAUGAAAUGUCAUAAAAUUAUCAAGUAAAAGAAAAAAAGAGACGCAGGCGACAUAGCCUUGAUUAAAAUUUACGAACCUUUCCAUCCCUGCAUAAGGAGGUGGUCUGACUAUAUGCUCCAGUGCAAGAAUAUCCCUUGUAGCAAGAUACUCUAAUACCUGAAGCAAAGCAAGUGAUAUUGAUAGUAAGCAACCUAAAAUUUAAGAACGUAUUAGCUAGAAAAUCAUAAAACUCUUUGGUAUUUAUUCACUUUGCACAGUCAUUUCAUACCAUAUUUAAUGAAUAUUUCACAUUGGUUAAGAUGAAAGAAGAACUGCCUUUGGGUUGGAAUUAACAUUUAACUAAAAAGUGCCAAGUGUGGUCUGGCCAGUAUAUAAACAGAAGCAGCAGGUAACAAGGGAUGUACCUUCAAAAGUUUUCGGAGUAUUGGGGUCUUUUUAAAAUCCCUCCGAUAUUGUUUCAUGAUAUUGUGUAACAUUUGCAGACCUGGAUGUGUUUGGAGGUUAAUUCAUACAAUAAAGGAAAAGGACAGGCUUAGGUACCAUACUAAAAGAAGUUAAUUGCUCUUUGGAAGUAGACGGCUGGUCCCAUCUGCUUUUACGCUUGCGUCCAUUUGUCUCAGGAAGGCUGGAGGAAGUAGGUUGUAUGCACCCGUCAGAUACAGAAGGUGUUUCGGGAGUUGCAGCCCUUGAGGAAAACGGUUCUGCACGUCUUGGCGAAUGAUGAUCAUAUCUAGGUUCUUGUGAUGAUCUGAAUCUGCUGUUUAUAGGUGAUCUUCUAGACUCCGAUCUCUCUUCUCUGUCGAUGCGCCAAGGUUUUCUUAAAUGCUUAGGGAUAAAUCUGUCUCGGAAGUUCCUCGCAAUUUGAUGCACCUGCAGGCAUACACAUGAAACCAGUUGGAAACUAGAAGGUAUAACAAAUAGAUAAAGAUGAAAUGUCAAUGGUGCUCAAGAGUUCAGGAUUCAAUAGAGUUCAUAAGGGGUAUAUGGGACGCUAGGUACCUGUUUGUCAUCAUGCUCGGUGAGUGUUAGAAUAGACUGCUUGAAGCUGCACAGAGAUAAACAUGAAAUGUCAUAAAAUUAUCAAGUAAAAGAAAAAAAGAGACGCAGGCGACAUAGCCUUGAUUAAAAUUUACGAACCUUUCCAUCCCUGCAUAAGGAGGUGGUCUGACUAUAUGCUCCAGUGCAAGAAUAUCCCUUGUAGCAAGAUACUCUAAUACCUGAAGCAAAGCAAGUGAUAUUGAUAGUAAGCAACCUAAAAUUUAAGAACGUAUUAGCUAGAAAAUCAUAAAACUCUUUGGUAUUUAUUCACUUUGCACAGUCAUUUCAUACCAUAUUUAAUGAAUAUUUCACAUUGGUUAAGAUGAAAGAAGAACUGCCUUUGGGUUGGAAUUAACAUUUAACUAAAAAGUGCCAAGUGUGGUCUGGCCAGUAUAUAAACAGAAGCAGCAGGUAACAAGGGAUGUACCUUCAAAAGUUUUCGGAGUAUUGGGGUCUUUUUAAAAUCCCUCCGAUAUUGUUUCAUGAUAUUGUGUAACAUUUGCAGACCUGGAUGUGUUUGGAGGUUAAUUCAUACAAUAAAGGAAAAGGACAGGCUUAGGUACCAUACUAAAAGAAGUUAAACGUACCAUUCUUGUUGAUUACGUCCACCAAAACAGUUCGUGACUUUGUCUUCAAAAGGGCAUCAAGAAUCAUUGAAAGAUCUCGAUUGCUGCAAUGGUUGCACAAAAAAAAAGGAAUUCAGGCAACAUAUGCAGAAUGUAAUAAAUCUAUAAUAGGAACUAAGAUAAGCAGGUUAAAUGCUUGGAGACCUUUGAAUUCCUUCAUUGGCAUUGCCCCGGGAAGCAGCAGUGAGAAGCAGAAGUUUCAAGUAGCCCUUUGCUGAAUCCUGUUAGUUUAAAAAAAAGGAUAAGGAACUUAGAUAUGCAAUGUACUGUUGCUGGAUAAUGGACCCUUAGAAAGGAGCGAAGAUGAUGUUUUAACCUUAAAGCAUAACUAAUUAUAGUGGAAAAGUAAUGCUAUGCAACUUACCCUCCGCUUGCUGAUCCCUCCCCCAGCAUCUAGUAACUCGUUCAGUUUCCCUUCAACUGCAAAUUUGUUGGUGUUAUUAGUGAGUAUGACAGAAUGCUUUGGGUACUAUUAACAAUUUACGUCUAAUACUAGUACCGUACAUGUUUCAAUACGCCCGCUGGGAGAAACUUCCUCUGAUCCUUUAGAUUUGAUGGGCUGCUGUUGCAACUUUUUGACUGGUGUAGUCUGUGCUUUGUUAACACCAGGAAGAGCUUGCUUGCUGGACCCCGAUGAACGCGAAGUUUUAGUACGAGGGCGGGGUCGUGAAAGUAUCUUUACAUCUUCACCAGAUCCAUGCUUUACUGUUUUAUCAGCAUUUGCACCAUCCGAGGACAGUCUGCUGAUAGACUUGGACGCGGGAGAUGGGCCUUUAGUCUUCUUUUCAAGAACCUCCUGCUGGACAUCAAUGACAGGCAUGUCUGUCGAAAGUUCCUUGGAUGCUUCGGUCGGUUGAAAAGAUGGAAGAACCUCGCUUUCUGGAAGUUUUACAGCUACAGAGCUAGGCGAUUGGGAAGCAAGGUCCUUGGAAUCAUCAACCUUUGUAGAGUUCUGCGGCAUUUGCAUGUCAGCACCAUCCAUGAAGAUCUUAGACGUUGCAUCUAAGAUUCCUUCCCCACUUUCGUCAUCAUCAAGGAUCACAAGUUCGGGAUACUCUUCAUCUGAAUCACUUUGAACAACUACAUCACCGUUCAAAGGAUCUCCCCCAAUGUAACCUCGGCAAUGUGAUGAUCCACAGUAACACUUUUUGGCAGCGGCACCAAAAACCCUCACAUAGUUGUAGUCAAAUGUCAACUCCUGACCCUGGCAAUGCAACAUACAGAUUUUAAAAAAAAAUCAUUAUUGUUCUUAUUAUUAUAUUCAGACCUUGAUUCUUUUUGGAUUUGGCGUUUGUAUUUAUGUUAGCAUGUUAAUUACUGUGUUCACUUUGAAAAGGUCGCAACACCAUAGUGUUUCCAUCAAACAUACUUUAAAAAUAGUUGGCCUUUUGACUAUACAGUUUCUACUGGAAUUCAAUAUCACAGAACAGACGUAAAGUGUGAGAGAGCCUACCUUCUUAAGGUCUUUCAUGGAGAAUAUUCCAACGCAAAUUUCACCAUUCACCAUCCACUGCAACAGCAUUUAAUAAAUACAAAAAAUGAAAAACAUACACAUAAUUUAACAACGAGGCAGACAAGCUCAAGAAGAAGUUUCCAAUUCAGAUUUAUAUCAGUGAGUUUAGAACCAUUUGUGAUACCGCAAAGAAGGCAUAAUAGUCACCUUUUCCGUACGGCAGUUUGGUUCACAACUAUGGUUAAUGAAACGCCCUAAAUUUCCCUUUGCACCAGCAUCAAUUACCUGCAUUAACAAAGUUAUUGCAAGAUGCAACAUAGAUACAAUUAUAACAAGCGCGGGGUCGUCUUUGCAGGGUGAACCACACUGAUGAACGAUGCUAAGCGGGAUCCCAUAGGAGACUGUUAACCGAGAGAGGAACUUUGCUUGUGGCUGUGCGGUGACUGCGUUAGGCGCAUCCGUGCAAGGCGAUGAGAACCCGGGUGGAAGGUCGUCUUGGACAUCUGUCAUGGUUCGUUGCUCUUUGGAAGUAGACGGCUGGUCCCAUCUGCUUUUACGCUUGCGUCCAUUUGUCUCAGGAAGGCUGGAGGAAGUAGGUUGUAUGCACCCGUCAGAUACAGAAGGUGUUUCGGGAGUUGCAGCCCUUGAGGAAAACGGUUCUGCACGUCUUGGCGAAUGAUGAUCAUAUCUAGGUUCUUGUGAUGAUCUGAAUCUGCUGUUUAUAGGUGAUCUUCUAGACUCCGAUCUCUCUUCUCUGUCGAUGCGCCAAGGUUUUCUUAAAUGCUUAGGGAUAAAUCUGUCUCGGAAGUUCCUCGCAAUUUGAUGCACCUG
rnacentral:lncRNA from 1 species